AUAAACAAGAUCAUACAGAAAUACAAAUAUAACUUAUUACUUUAGGAACCACAUCUGCUACUGAAGAAGUGUUUUUAUAACAUAAAAUUUAUGUAAGUGCUUUCAGCAAAGGGGGCGUUUAGCAUCUGAUAAGUACAAAUUAUCUAACACACUCUAAACAGUUUUGAUCAUGUGCAUCCCAAUGAUGUUGUAAAGGCCAACAGAAGCUAUUACAGAUGACCAGAAUAAAACCUUUUGAAGGAAAAGCUGAAAUGUAUAUUGUAUUAAUAUAUAACCAUUCUCAUAAAUUACACACCCAUAGUUUCUUUGUAUGGAGUGGAUUUAUGUCCAUGUAGGUUAUAGAAGUGCAAAUUGUUUUUACUGAAAUAGUUUAAAUUCAAGUGCUAAAGAAAACCACAAGGCAGCAUGAUCCCAGUGUUUAACAAUCCUGCAAAUACAAAACACUGAGACAUUUACAAGCUAGUUUAUUUAAUAACCAAGUAAAGAUACCCUUUUACGGUAAACCUGGAGAUGCAUAUUUACGUGACAUUAACAUAAAAUUACAAAAUUCAUUCUGUGAUUUGUAGACUCAUUUUUUCUUACUAUAAAAGUAACAGUCAAAUUACACAUGGACAGUCUGUUGAUUAUAAACAUUAAGUCUUUUUUUCUCAAUUGAUCACUUUUAGUAAAUGCUGAAGCUGCAUCACUGAAUGAGCAGCUCUUCUUGAUUGUCUUCUGCUCACAACGAUCGUCUUCUGUGACUUGUGUGUCUCACUGUGGGUUUCCUGAAUAACCUUCACAGACUGUUCACUGUCUGUGUGAUGUUCACAGUCAAACUAAACUUAGACCCUCAACUGACAAACUGUUUUCUGUGGCUUUGAGUUGGACAGAAAAACAGCCUGUUCAUCACGCAAACACUCAAAA